CGGACGGGUGAGUAAUGCCUAGGAAUCUGCCUGGUGGUGGGGGACAACGUUUCGAAAGGAACGCUAAUACCGCAUACGUCCUACGGGAGAAAGCAGGGGACCUUCGGGCCUUGCGCUAUCAGAUGAGCCUAGGUCGGAUUAGCUAGUUGGUGAGGUAAUGGCUCGCCAAGGCGACGAUCCGUAACUGGUCUGAGAGGAUGAUCAGUCACACUGGAACUGAGACACGGUCCAG
rnacentral:rRNA from 1 species